AUAUAUGACGUUAGCUACGUUGUGACGCUAGCAAUUUAAAUGACCGUUUUGCGUUUUAAGCUACGUUUUCUCAGAGUUUUUUCAACUGAAUAACUUUCUAAUGCAUUCUUUGCAACCAUAAUAAAAAAAUCGGCGCCAUUUACAUCAAUACAUGCAAGUUACAGAGGAUGACUUCUGCUAACGUCAGUUUUUGACGGCUUUUAAUUUGCGAAUGUCACACAUUUGACGGACUUUUUUAUUUUCUAUAAAGUUGAACAGAAAAUAUUUAAUAAAUUUACCUGUAACUAUUGAACAGUUGAAUUGAAAUCACUUAUAAUCGAUAUGCAUUAGAAUUUGAGCAGUGUUUAUUCUCAUGGUGUCAACACUGGCUUUCCCCAGAGAUUCCAUUUCAACAAUCUGCAGUUGAUGUUUCUGACUCGCCUGAGAGGAUAUUUCCAGACAUUCUGUGUGAACUAACCAAACGUGAUGAAACUGGUCCGACUGAGAGCUUUCCAGUAGACCAGUUGCAAGCACAGGACUUGUCUCCACUACUUCCUGGUAGUCCAUUUUCAGUGUCCAGUGUUGACCCACAGAUCCAGAAUCAAAGGUUGAUCAUUGGCCGUAUGUUCGUUUUAUGGACUUCAAAAAGUCUGUAAAACUUUGGGUGGAGGGGGCAAUACUCCACACACUUCUCCCCUCAGAUGUUUUGAGGCUGAUUGAUGUCCCAUCCGUGGAGAUGAGAGGGUCUCGUGUAUACUAUCGAUUUACCAAAGAGACAGAGAAGACCUUUAGAGGAAAUGAAAUGAAUGAAUGAAAUUAUACUUUAAAUCACCUCAUCAUUAAAUAUCUUUGACACCA